rnacentral:rRNA from 1 species
GCGUAAAGGGCUCGCAGGCGGUUUCUUAAGUCUGAUGUGAAAGCCCCCGGCUCAACCGGGGAGGGUCAUUGGAAACUGGGGAACUUGAGUGCAGAAGAGGAGAGUGGAAUUCCACGUGUAGCGGUGAAAUGCGUAGAGAUGUGGAGGAACACCAGUGGCGAAGGCGACUCUCUGGUCUGUAACUGACGCUGAGGAGCGAAAGCGUGGGGAGCGAACAGGAUUAGAUACCCUGGUAGUCCACGCCGUAAACGAUGAGUGCUAAGUGUUAGGGGGUUUCCGCCCCUUAGUGCUGCAGCUAACGCAUUAAGCACUCCGCCUGGGGAGUACGGUCGCAAGACUGAAACUCAAAGGAAUUGACGGGGGCCCGCACAAGCGGUGGAGCAUGUGGUUUAAUUCGAAGCAACGCGAAGAACCUUACCAGGUCUUGACAUCCUCUGACAAUCCUAGAGAUAGGACGUCCCCUUCGGGGGCAGAGUGACAGGUGGUGCAUGGUUGUCGUCAGCUCGUGUCGUGAGAUGUUGGGUUAAGUCCCGCAACGAGCGCCACCCUUGAUCUUAGUUGCCAGCAUUCAUUUGGGCACUCUACAGUGACUGCCGGCGACAAACCGGAGGA